GAUGAACGCUAGCGGCAGGCUUAAUACAUGCAAGUCGAGGGGCAGCGCGGACUUCGGUCUGGCGGCGACCGGCAAACGGGUGCGGAACACGUACACAACCUUCCUUUUAGUGGGGGAUAGCCCAGAGAAAUUUGGAUUAAUACCCCGUAAGAUGUUAGUGAGGCAUCUCACUGAGAUUAUAGUGGCAACACGCUAGAAGACGGGUGUGCGUAUGAUUAGGUAGUUGGCGGGGUAACGGCCCACCAAGCCUUCGAUCAUUAACUGGUGUGAGAGCACGACCAGUCACACGGGCACUGAGACACGGGCCCGACUCCUACGGGAGGCAGCAGUAAGGAAUAUUGGUCAAUGGAGGAAACUCUGAACCAGCCAUGCCGCGUGGAGGAUGAAGGUCCUCUGGAUUGUAAACUUCUUUUAUAUGGGACGAAAAAGGGACUUUCUAGUUCAACUGACGGUACCAUAUGAAUAAGCACCGGCUAACUCCGUGCCAGCAGCCGCGGUAACAC
rnacentral:rRNA from 1 species